AGCGAACGCUGGCGGCAGGCCUAACACAUGCAAGUCGAACGAACCUUUCGGGGUUAGUGGCGGACGGGUGAGUAACACGUGGGAACGUGCCUUUAGGUUCGGAAUAACUCAGGGAAACUUGUGCUAAUACCGAAUGUGCCCUCCGGGGGAAAGAUUUAUCGCCUUUAGAUCGGCCCGCGUCUGAUUAGCUAGUUGGUUGAGGUAAUGGCUCACCAAGGCGACGAUCUGUAGCUGGUCUGAGAGGAUGAUCAGCCACAUUGGGACUGAGACACGGCCCAAACUCCUACGGGAGGCAGCAGUGGGGAAUCUUGCGCAAUGGGCGAAAGCCUGACGCAGCCAUGCCGCGUGAAUGAUGAAGGUCUUAGGAUUGUAAAAUUCUUUCACCGGGGACGAUAAUGACGGUACCCGGAGAAGAAGCCCCGGCUAACUUCGUG
rnacentral:rRNA from 1 species